AUGACAAGCAAUAUAGCCGAAUGCUUCAAUAGGGUGCUCAAAGGUGCACGUGGAUUACCCGUGACGGCAAUAGUUCAAUACACAUUUGACAAGAUGAAUGCGUACUUUGUAAAGUACUCGAUGAAAACCGAUGCACAGAUAGCGGAUGAGAACCCACGAAAGUACAAGUACAAGUUCCCACCCAAAGUUGAUGAAUGGUUGGUAUUUCAAUCACGGAAAGCGGACUCAGAAGAAGCUAUAUUAUAUGACAACGAAGAGUGGAAGUACGAAGUGAAAGAGCCAGGAGGAACCACAAACGAUGGCCGGCAACAUGGAGGUCGGGCUUUCAAGGUGUCGUUAACACAAUGUGAUUGCACUUGCGGGAGGCCAUUGUUGCUUCAUCUCUCAUGCUCACACUUGUAUACCGCCGGUCGCGUUAGGAAUGUGGACAUCAAUCACCCACGCACCGUGAGGGAGUCGGAGUUCUCAAUCAUGACGGUCAAGAAAACAUGGGCUCCCCGCUUUUACCCAUACUUUGACCAAUCACAAUGGCCGGAGUAUCAUGAAAUUCAACUAUGGCUGGAUCCGGAGUUGAAGGUUGUUAAAAGGGGUAGACGUAAGACAAAGCGUCUUAGAGGCGACAUGGACGGAUGGGGCCAUGGUGGCCGCCGCGAAGCGGGCAACGACCAAUUCCAAGAGCCUCGUGAGAGCUCCCGUUGUGGGGAGUGCAAAGGUCAUGGCCACAACAAAAGAAAAUAUACGAAACCAAGGAAAAGGUCCAAGUAA
rnacentral:rRNA from 1 species